CGAUUUGCUCACCUACCCAUCCAUAACCACGGAACCACACAGCGUACAGUGCUCACCAUAGUUGCAUUGACUUCGUGAAUGUUGAGCUUGGGUGAGUAUGUGGCGGUAAGGGCGGCAUCGCCACUCUUGGGAACCCUCACGGCGAUGUAGAGGUUCUUAGCAAGCGUGUUGUUGCUGUAGGUGGGCAGCCAGUCGGGCACCACUCGCAGGUAGUUGCCGUCGCCAGUGAGGUAGGUGGCGGGCAGGGCAAAGGCAAGUGCGGAACCUGGAGCAAACGAAGCAGAGCUGAUGGCCCCGCCGCCUGGUGCGGGUGUGGCCCAGCCCAUGCGAGAGAUCUCGGCGGCGUUGGGGCAGGCGUCACCACGGCCCAUGGCGGUCGAGUAGUCCUCGUACUCCCAGCCGUUCUGCCAGGAGUGCCACA
rnacentral:lncRNA from 1 species